rnacentral:misc_RNA from 1 species
AAUCGCUCAAAAAUUGUGCUCAACACUCUCUUUCUCUCGUCCGUCACCAUCCCAAAAUGGACACUGUAGUCACCUAUCACUACAGGCGAUCCGCCUCUCGCCUAACAUUAGUUGCACACUUGUUCGGCAUCUUGGCUUUCAUUCUCAUGCUCAUUUGGUUGUUGCAUUAUCGAGGAGGAAUUGAGUAUGAUUCUGACAAUAUCGAUCGCGUUUUCAAUGUUCAUCCGUUCAUGAUGUUUUGUGGAUUCAUCUUUCUUGUUGGUCAAGCGAUGAUGGUAUACAAGACAGUACCCGCGUCACACAAUGUGCAGAAAUUUAUUCACAUGACACUUCACCUAACCGCUAUAUGCCUUGGAAUUGUUGGGAUUGCUGCUGUUUUCAAGUUUCAUGACAUGGUAAACUCAGAGGAUGUUUAUACCUUGCAUUCGUGGAUUGGGAUAGGCACCUUCUGCUUGUUUGGCUUGCAGUGGCUCUUUGGACUGUUCACAUUUGUGACUCCACAACCUUCGCAAACUAAGCAAAGUAUGCUUCCAUGGCACAUCUGUGGUGGUAGGGCACUCCUCUACAUGGCCAUUUCUGCUGCUCUUACAGGGUUGAUGGAGAAAUCUACAUUCUCGCAGCAAAAGCAUACUCGUGAAAAUCAUUUCUUAAACUUCACCGGAUUAUUCAUCCUCCUCUUUGGCAUCUUCGUCGACCUCUCGGUUGCUCUCGCCCGUUACGUGUGAUUAAUCAUCAUUAUUAUAUAUCUUGAUUGACAUAUAUAAUAUAUCAUUAUUUUUUUUUUAUUAGUGUGUGCAUUUUUUAAUCUUGAUUCAAUGCUUGUAUAUAUAUUCGAUUGAUAUUGUAACAGUAACACCAGUAAUGUUGUUUGUUUUCCUCCUUUUAAUUUGCAAACGCAACAACUGCGUUGAUUGUUGAAAAUAAAUAUUGAAACAACUAGACUGGAAAUUUGAUGGAUUUGAGCUAUCAAAUUAUUUCAAA